GUUCUCACUCAGCACACAGCAACCUAGUCUCCAAGUGCCCAUGGGCAUGUUCCACUGUGCCUCAGUGUGGAUGCUGUCAGCUCCCUCCUCCCUUACUUUGAUGGCUUUUCUUCCUUGGGCAACGAGCAUAUUACUACAGGGAUAAAAACUCUCCAUUGACUGAUGGAUUAGGUAGAAGCCUAAGCCUGGUGUGUCAAGACCGCCUAGUUCUUGUCUCAUCUGCAGUUUCAAAUUACCAAUGCGACAAAAUUUGUAAAACCUGGCCUGAGACUGAAAGCCACAGCACAGACAAGCCCAGCACACCAAGCUCCAGGGAAGCCUUCCGAUUCCGAGGAAGACAUCAAACUGAGAUUGGGAAAAUGGGUAGGCCCAAAAUAAGAUUAGCAUUUUCCCCCCAGUUAAGAUUCUUUAAAUUAGCAAGGCUGGGUGAAGAAAAGGACAGUACCUUACUAGAGUAUAAAUUAGUUGGAAGCUAAGAAAGAACCACUGGCAGUGCAAGGUGAU
rnacentral:lncRNA from 10 species